rnacentral:lncRNA from 1 species
GAAUUAUCUUCAAAGGGAGUUUCUGUUUAGAUAGCUGGAAAGAUACAGCACCUGAAAGGCACCAAUCACAUUUACAUAUAACUGGUCUUCAAAGGAGUCCCUAUCUAGGAAAACACACCUUGGGUUAGAGGCAAAGGGAUGGCUGGGAGAGUUAACACUUAAAUAAAAUAACAGGAUAGACAACACUUUGGGCCUUGGGAAAGUAAAUCACAUUUACAUAUCAAUUGAGCUGAGGAAUUUGCUAUUUACAACAUGGGAACCAAUUCCUUUAAAAAUAGAAGAUACUGACAUCACAUUAGAUUAGGUUUGGUAAGACACACAUGCUGCACAUAACAUUGCACAGCACAUACA